rnacentral:rRNA from 1 species
UAGAAAAGCCUCUAAGCGAAGAAGUUCUGGCGUCCGUACCGCAGACCGACACAGGUGGGCAGGUAGAGGAUACCAAGGCGAACGGGAGAACCCUCGUUAAGGAAUUAGGCAAAUUAGCCCCGUAACUUCGGGAGAAGGGGCGCCUCUGGGGGUGAGCUAUAAGCAUAGGGAGCCCGUGGAGGCCGCAGAGGAAUGGCUCUAGUGACUGGUUACCAAAACCACAGGUCUCUGCAAACGCGGAAGCGGCAGUAUAGGGGCUGACACCUGCCCAGUGCCGGAAGGUUAAAGGGAGGGGUAAGCGGAAGCGAAGCUCUGAACUGAAGCCCCGGUGAACGGCGGCCGUAACGAUAACGGUCCUAAGGUAGCGAAAUUCCUUGUCGGGUAAGUUCCGACCCGCACGAAAGGUGUAACAACUAGAGCACUGUCUCAACGAGGGGCCCGGCGAAAUUGAACACGCGGUAAAGAUGCCGUGUACCCGCAGCAGGACAAAAAGACCCCGUGGAGCUUUACUGCAGUUUGGCACUGGAUUAGGGUUGCGUUUGUGUAGGAUAGGUGGGAGGCGGAGAAGCUGGGACGCGAGUUUCGGUGGAGCCGACGGUGAAAUACCACCCUGGCGCAACUUUGAUUCUAACCUAGGCCCGUGAACCGGGUUGGGGACCGUGCCAGGCGGGCAGUUUGACUGGGGUGGUCGCCUCCCAAAAGGUAACGGAGGCGCUCAAAGGUUCCCUCAGGUGGCAUGGAAACCCACCGGAGAGUGCAAAGGCAAAAGGGAGCUUGACUGUGAGGCUGACCAGCCGAGCAGGGACGCAAGUCGGACUUAGUGAUCCCACGGUACCGAGUGGAAGGGCCGUGGCUUACCGGAUAAAAGCUACCCCGGGGAUAACAGGGUGGUGAGGCCCAAGAGUUCACAUCGACGGCCUCGCUCGCCACCUCGAUGUCGGCUCGUCACAUCCUGGGGCUGGACAAGGUCCCAAGGGUUGGACUGUUCGUCCAUUAAAGUGGCACGCGAGCUGGGUUCAGACCGUCGUGAGACAGGUCGGUCUCUAUCCGCUGUGGGCGAAGGGGAUUUGAGGGGAGCUGCCUUCAGUACGAGAGGACCAGGGUGGACGGACCGCUGGUGUGCCAGUUGUGGCGCCAGCCGCAUUGCUGGGUAGCCAGGUCCGGCAGGGAUAACCGCUGAAAGCAUCUAAGUGGGAAGCCCGCCCCAAGAUGAGAUCCCCCACACCGGGAAGGUGGUAAGACCGCGGGAAGACGACCCGUUAGAUAGGCAGGGAGUGGAAGCGUUGUAAAGCGUGGAGCUAACCUGUACUAAAGGUCGAGGGCUUCUUCCG